rnacentral:rRNA from 1 species
CAUUCGAGUGGCGGACGGGUGAGUAACGCGUGGGUAACCUGCCUUACACAGGGGGAUAACACCUGGAAACAGGUGCUAAUACCGCAUAACGGGGGAAGCCGCAUGGCUUUUCCCUGAAAACUCCGGUGGUACAGGAUGGGCCCGCGUCUGAUUAGCCAGUUGGCAGGGUAACGGCCUACCAAAGCGACGAUCAGUAGCCGGCCUGAGAGGGCGGACGGCCACACUGGGACUGAGACACGGCCCAGACUCCUACGGAAGGCAGCAG